CCUACGGGAGGCAGCAGUGAGGAAUAUUGGUCAAUGGGCGCUAGCCUGAACCAGCCAAGUAGCGUGAAGGAAGACGGUCCUAUGGAUUGUAAACCUCUUUUGUCUGGGAGUAAAAUGCACCACGCAUAGCGUUCCGCAAGUACCCUAUGAAAAAGCAUCGGCUAACUCCGUGCCAGCAGCCGCGGUAAUACGGAGGAUCCGAGCGUUAUCCGGAUUUAUUGGGUUUAAAGGGUGCGCAGGCGGAAGUUAAAGUCAGCGGUAAAAUUGAGAGGUUCAACCUCUUCGAGCCGUUGAUACUGGUUUUCUUGAGUGAGUGAGAGGUAGGCGGAAUGCGUGGUGUAGCGGUGAAAUGCAUAGAUAUCACGAAGAACUCCGAUUGCGAAGGCAGCCCACUGGACUGCAACUGACACUGAGGCUCGAAAGUGUGGGUAUCAAACAGGAUUAGAUACCCGAGUAGUC
rnacentral:rRNA from 1 species